rnacentral:rRNA from 1 species
CGAGCGGAGUUGAAGGAGUGCUUGCACUCCUGAUGCUGAACGGCGGACGGGUGAGUAAUACGUAGGUAACCUGCCCUUAAGACCGGGAUAACUCACGGAAACGUGGGCUAAUACCGGAUAGGCGAUUUCCUCGCAUGAGGGAAUCGGGAAAGGCGGAGCACUCUGCCCCUUUUGGGUGGGCCUACGGGGCAUUUACUAGUUUGGGGGGUAACGGGUCACCCAAGGGACAAUACGUAUCCCACCUCAGAGGGGGAUCGGCCCCACUGGGGCUGAGACACGGGCCACAAUCCCAUCGGAGGGAACCAUAGGGGAUCUUCCCCAAUGGGCACACGUCUGACAGAGCAACCCCCCGUGAGUGAUGAAAGGUUUCGGAUCGCAUAACUCUGUUGCCCCGGGAAAAAGCUCUUGAGAGUAACUGUUUCCUAUGUGACAGUACCCGAGAAAAAAACCCCCGCUAAAUACAUGCCCCCACCCCCGGUAAUACCUAUGGGGCAAGCGUUUUCCCGAAAUUUUUGGCGUAAAACGCGCGCACGCGGUCAUAUAAAUCUCGGGUUUUAACCCCGGGCUCUACUCCCGGGCUCAUCUCAAACUGUGUGACUUUUGUGCGCAAAAAGAAAAUGGAAAUUCCCGCGUAUCGGUGAAAUGCGUAUAGAUGUGGAGGAA